CUACCCUGUCUUCCAAUAAAGCCGUUAAAUAUAACAUAUUCUGUGUUUGAGUAAUUUUUGCAAUGACAACAUGAGUAUCAAUAGUGUAUUGUAGCCAGUGUUUCGCUAAAUUGGUUCGUGCAGCAGCUAAGAUUUGUCUCAUCAAAGUAUUCUGGAGUUUCGUAAGGGACUUGGACGGGCAGGCUAAAAGAGCCGUAGUAGCUUCGGGGACUAUAUGUGUGUGAAAUACUCGGUCAAUUAAGUUAUAAAUCUCUGCCCAAUAUUGUUGUGCUACAGGACAUGUCCACCAGAUAUGCAAAUAAUCCCCAACUGCUGUACAACCCCUGAAGCAAGAAUCGGGAGUGGAAGGAUCAAAACGAUGUUUCCUUGCCGGUGUAAGGUGCCAACGCAUCAGCACUUUAUAUGUGGAUUCUCGUAUAAGAUCUCUUCCUCCCCACCCCCAUAAGCAAACAAGAGAAGAGUGUAGGCGAGAGAUGUAGCACGCAUGACGCACGCAGGAGUCUAAAGGUUGAGAGCAGCAAGAGGAAUGGUUCAUGACAGCACAGCUCACUAAUUAGCCACUUGAAUGGGUAAUAAAUUCCAGGCAAAAUGCUGGUUGGCUUGAAGUGGAUCUGGAGAACGGGGCAGCUAAAUAACGGCUAUAAAGAAGAGAUAUGGCAAGUUAUGUGUUUGGGAAAUGCAAAAAAAAUCCCAUACAUUUUCUAAAUGGAAAUGUUUCAAGACAAACCAUUGGAAUGGGCCUUUAUAGUCAUUUUGUAAUUAGUUUGUUUAUGUAAUCUCAGCUAGGUCUUAUCUUAAAAAUGUAGUCCAGUUCUGAGCACCAUUUAUUAAAGCUAAAAAAUGUACAUUAAAGGGCAAAAGUGUUACUGGAAUGGUGUGGAAACAUAUAGGCAUGCCAGCAAAUGCCCAUAAUAUCACCAUAAAGUUAAAAUAUUUCAUUUACAUUUGAAGGUUAUUGAGCUCUUCUACAAUUGCUAGAGGCAGUGCUGGUUGCUAAAAAAAGCUAAAUUUUCCCCAUAAAAAUAUGCCUUAUAACAAUACCAUUGUAUCUGCUUUCAUCCAUCUAUUCAAGUGUCAUGCAGUACUUUACAGGAUUUUGCUUUCUUUGGGAAAUAAGAAGCAGAUCAACAUACACUGGCACAAUGUCGCUCUUGCCUAUCACCUGCCAUGGCCAGGCACUAUGUACAGUGCUUCCUUUUUAUGUAAUAAAAGACACCAAUGGGGUUAUUUAUCAAAGUCCGAAUUGAUCUCAAUAUUUUCUGCU